rfam:Triticum aestivum genome assembly, contig: Triticum_aestivum_CS42_TGACv1_scaffold_423182_5BS
CAAGUACUCCCUCCGUCCGAAAAUACUUGUCCGAGAGAUAGAUGUAUUUAGAUGUAUUUUAGUUUUAGAUACAUCUUUUUUAUCCAUUUCGAAGACAAGUAUUUCCGGACCGAGGUAGUAGGUG